GUAAGGAAUAUUGGACAAUGGGCGGAAGCCUGAUCCAGCCAUGCCGCGUGAAGGAUGAAGGCGCUCAGCGUUGUAAACUUCUUUUGGAUGGGAACAAUAAUCGAGACUUGUCUUGACUUGAGGGUACCAUCAGAAUAAGCACCGGCUAACUCCGUGCCAGCAGCCGCGGUAAUACGGAGGGUGCAAGCGUUAUCCGGAAUCACUGGGUUUAAAGGGUGCGUAGGCGGUCCGAUAAGUCAGCCGUGAAAUCGCUGGGCUUAACCCAUGCAAUUGCGGUUGAUACUGUCGGACUUGAAUGGGGUUGAGGCUGGCGGAAUGCGACAUGUAGCGGUGAAAUGCUUAGAUAUGUCGCAGAACACCGAUUGCGAAGGCAGCCAGCUGGGCCUUUAUUGACGCUGAGGCACGAAAGCGUGGGGAGCAAACAGGAUUAGAAACCCUGGUAGUCC
rnacentral:rRNA from 1 species